UACGGAGGGGGCUAGCGUUGUCCGAAGUUACUGGGCGUAAAGCGCGCGUAGGCGGGUUGGUAAGUCCGCUGUGAAAGCCCGGAGCUCAACUCCGGAGGGUCGGUGGAUACUGCCAGUCUUGAAGGUGCUAGGGGGAGAUGGAAUUACCGGUGUAGCGGUGAAAUGCGUAGAUAUCGGUAGGAACACCAGUGGCGAAGGCGGCUCUCUGGGACGGUACUGACGCUGAGACGCGAAAGCGUGGGGAGCGAACAGG
rnacentral:rRNA from 1 species